GGGGAUAUAAGUCAGUGGUAGAGUGCAUGCUUAGCAUGCGCGAGGUCCUGGAUUCAACCCCCAGUCUCUCCA
rnacentral:tRNA from 1 species